rnacentral:rRNA from 1 species
AGUGAACGCUGGCGGUAGGCCUAACACAUGCAAGUCGAACGGCAGCACAGGAGAGCUUGCUCUCUGGGUGGCGAGUGGCGGACGGGUGAGGAAUACAUCGGAAUCUACUUUUUCGUGGGGGAUAACGUAGGGAAACUUACGCUAAUACCGCAUACGACCUACGGGUGAAAGCAGGGGAUCUUCGGACUUUGCGCGAUUGAAUGAGCCGAUGUCGGACUAGCUAGUUGGCGGGGUAAAGGCCCACCAAGGCGACGAUCCGUAGCUGGUCUGAGAGGAUGAUCAGCCACACUGGAACUGAGACACGGUCCAGACCCCUACGGGAGGCAGCAGUGGGGAAUAUUGGACAAUGGGCGCAAGCCUGAUCCAGCCAUACCGCGUGGGUGAAGAAGGCCUUCGGGUUGUAAAGCCCUCUUGUUGGGAAAGAAAUCCAGCUGGUUAUUACCCGGUUGGGAUGACGGUACCCAAAGGAUAAGCACCGGCUAACUUCGUGCCAGCCGCCGCUGUAA